GAGUUUGAUCCUGGCUCAGAUUGAACGCUGGCGGCAUGCCUUACACAUGCAAGUCGAACGGCAGCACGGGAGCUUGCUCCUGGUGGCGAGUGGCGAACGGGUGAGUAAUGCAUCGGAACGUAUCCUGGAGUGGGGGAUAACGUAGCGAAAGUUACGCUAAUACCGCAUAUUCUGUGAGCAGGAAAGCGGGGGACCUUCGGGCCUCGCGCUCUUGGGGCGGCCGAUGUCGGAUUAGCUAGUUGGUGAGGUAAAGGCUCACCAAGGCGACGAUCCGUAGCAGGUCUGAGAGGAUGAUCUGCCACACUGGAACUGAGACACGGUCCAGACUCCUACGGGAGGCAGCAGUGGGGAAUUUUGGACAAUGGGGGCAACCCUGAUCCAGCCAUGCCGCGUGAGUGAAGAAGGCCUCGGUUGUAAG
rnacentral:rRNA from 2 species